UACGUAGGGUGCAAGCGUUGUCCGGAAUUAUUGGGCGUAAAGAGCUCGUAGGCGGUCUGUCGCGUCUGCUGUGAAAAUCAGGGCUCAACCCUGGACCUGCAGUGGGUACGGGCAGACUAGAGUGCGGUAGGGGAGAUCGGAAUUCCUGGUGUAGCGGUGAAAUGCGCAGAUAUCAGGAGGAACACCGGUGGCGAAGGCAGCUCGCUGGGACGGUAGCUGACGCUGGAGGCGCGAAAGCUAGGGAGCAAACGGG
rnacentral:rRNA from 1 species